UAGAGUUUCCUGCUUCUCUAAAAAGCAGGUGGUGCGGAUGGAGGUAACACUCCCGCCCUGUUUCUUGCUUCAGGUCAAAGAGCAAGUGGCGUGCAUGUAA
rnacentral:ncRNA from 1 species